CCUACGGGCGGCAGCAGUGGGGGAUAUUGGACAAUGGGGGGAACCCUGAUCCAGCGACGCCGCGUGAGUGAAGAAGUAUUUCGGUAUGUAAAGCUCUGUCAGCAGGGAAGAAAGAAAUGACGGUACCUGACCAAGAAGCCCCGGCUAACUACGUGCCAGCAGCCGCGGUAAUACGUAGGGGGCAAGCGUUAUCCGGAAUUACUGGGUGUAAAGGGGGCGUAGACGGUUAAGUAAGUCUGGAGUGAAAGGCCGGGGCCCAACCCCGGGACUGCUCUGGAAACUAUUGAACUUGAGUGCAGGAGAGGAAAGCGGAAUGCGGAGUGUAGCGGUGAAAUGCGUAGAUAUUAGGAGGAACACAAGUGGCGAAGGCGGCUGACUGGACUGUAACUGACGUUGAGGCUCGAAAGCGGGGGGAGCAAACAGGAUUAGAUACCCUGGUAGUC
rnacentral:rRNA from 1 species